AACGUACGCUGGCGGCACGCCUAACACAUGCAAGUCGAACGAAGUAGCAAUACUUAGUGGCAGACGGGUGAGUAACAUGUAGGUAUCUGCCCUUUGGCCUGGAAUAACACGAGGAAACUUGUGCUAAUACCGGAUAAGUCUUUACGGAGAAAGCUUUAUGCACCAUUGGAUGAGCCUGCACUUGAUUAGUUUGUUGGUGGGAUAAUGGCCUACCAAGACUGUGAUCAAUAGCUGAUUUGAGAGGAUGAUCAGCCACAUUGGGACUGAGACACGGCCCAAACUCCUACGGGAGGCAGCAGUGGGGAAUCUUGCACAAUGGAGGAAACUCUGAUGCAGCGAUGCCGCGUGAGUGAAGAAGGCCCUUGGGUUGUAAAGCUCUUUCGUCGGGGAAGAAAAUGACUGUACCCGAAUAAGAAGGUCCGGCUAACUUCGUGCCAGCAGCCGCGGUAAUACGAAGGGACCUAGCGUAGUUCGGAAUUACUGGGCUUAAAGAGUUCGUAGGUGGUUGAAAAAGUUAGUGGUGAAAUCCCAGAGCUUAACUCUGGAACUGCCAUUAAAACUUUUCGGCUAGAGUAUGAUAGAGGAAAGCAGAAUUUCUAGUGUAGAGGUGAAAUUCGUAGAUAUUAGAAAGAAUACCAAUUGCGAAGGCAGCUUUCUGGAUCAUUACUGACACUGAGGAACGAAAGCAUGGGUAGCGAAGAGGAUUAGAUACCCUCGUAGUCCAUGCCGUAAACGAUGUGUGUUAGACGUUGGAAAUUUAUUUUCAGUGUCGCAGGGAAACCGAUAAACACACCGCCUGGGGAGUACGACCGCAAGGUUAAACCUCAAAUGAAUUGACGGGGACCCGCACAAGUAGUGGAGCAUGUGGUUUAAUUCGAAGAUACGCGCAGAACCUUACCAACACUUGACAUGUUCGUCGCGACUCUAAGAGAUUAGAGUUUUCGGUUCGGCCGGACGAAACACAGGUGCUGCAUGGCUGUCGUCAGCUCGUGUCGUGAGAUGUUGGGUUAAGUCCCGCAACGAGCGCAACCCUCACUUUUAGUUGCCAUCAUUAAGUUGGGCACUCUGAAAGAACUGCCAGUGAUAAGCUGGAGGAAGGUGGGGAUGACGUCAAGUCCUCAUGGCCCUUACGUGUUGGGCUACACACGUGCUACAAUGGUAUCUACAACAGGAAGCGAAACUGCAAGGUUGAGCAAAUCCCUAAAAGAUACCUCAGUUCGGAUUGCACUCUGCAACUCGAGUGCAUGAAGCUGGAAUUACUAGUAAUCGUGGAUCAGCGUGCCACGGUGAAUGCGUUCCCGGGUCU
rnacentral:rRNA from 1 species